GGCCCGGCACCACCUGACAUACGGUGCGUCCGACUUUUAAUCCGAGAGUUGCGGGUUCGAGCCCCGCGGGGCCC
rnacentral:tRNA from 1 species